UACGUAGGGGGCGAGCGUUGUCCGGAGUUACUGGGCGUAAAGCGCACGCAGGCGGUCUGCUAAGUUUGGAGUGACAGUUGGUGGCUUAACUGCCAAAGUGCUUCGAAACUGACAGACUUGAGGGCUUCAGAGGGACACGGAAUUCCGGGUGGAGUGGUGAAAUGCGUAGAGAUCCGGAGGAACACCAAAGGCGAAGGCAGUGUCCUGGGGAGUACCUGACGCUCAGGUGCGAAAGCCAGGGGAGCGAACGGGAU
rnacentral:rRNA from 1 species